rnacentral:rRNA from 1 species
AUUGAACGCUGGCGGCAUGCUUUACACAUGCAAGUCGAACGGUAACAGGGAGCUUGCUCCGCUGACGAGUGGCGAACGGGUGAGUAAUGCAUCGGAACGUACCCAGUCGUGGGGGAUAACGUAGCGAAAGUUACGCUAAUACCGCAUACGUCCUGAGGGAGAAAGCGGGGGACCGUAAGGCCUCGCGCGAUUGGAGCGGCCGAUGUCGGAUUAGGUAGUUGGUGGGGUAAAGGCUCACCAAGCCAACGAUCUGUAGCUGGUCUGAGAGGACGACCAGCCACACUGGAACUGAGACACGGUCCAGACUCCUACGGGAGGCAGCAGUGGGGAAUUUUGGACAAUGGGCGCAAGCCGGUGAUCCAGCCAUUCCGCGUGCAGGAUGAAGGCCUCGGUUGUAAACUGCUUUGUACGGUACGAAACGGCGAGCGUCUAAUACAGUUUGCUAAUGACGGUACCGUAAGAAUAAGACACCGGCUAACUACGUGCCAGCAGCCGCGGUAAUG